rnacentral:lncRNA from 1 species
GAAAAUCUCGAAAAUUCACCUUCGACUUGCUUCAAUUGAGCUUGAUCUCUCUUCUAAUUUGGCUUAGCUUUCUUCUAACAACGUGUAGGAAGUGAAAUGAAUGAUCAAAGGGCUUGGACUCUUGUAGUUUCAAUCCCAAAAUAGGAGUGGAAUUGAAGCUCGAUUUCAAGAGAAAUCUUCAAAUUUAUCCUUUAAAUGGAGGUUAGGGAAGAUGCAGGUCAAAGCUUGGGAAAAGGGAUCCCUCUUCUG